rnacentral:rRNA from 1 species
UACGUAGGGUGCGAGCGUUAAUCGGAAUUACUGGGCGUAAAGCGCACGCAGGUGGCUGAGCAAGUCGAUUGUGAAAGCCCUGGGCUUAACCUGGGAAUUGCAGUCGAAACUACUCGGCUAGAGUAUGGGAGAGGACAGUGGAAUUCCCGGUGUAGCGGUGAAAUGCGUAGAUAUCGGGAGGAACAUCAGUGGCGAAGGCGGCUGUCUGGCCCAAUACUGACACUCAGGUGCGACAGCGUGGGGAGCAAACAGG